AGUGAACGCUGGCGGUAGGCCUAACACAUGCAAGUCGAACGGCAGCACAGUAAGAGCUUGCUCUUACGGGUGGCGAGUGGCGGACGGGUGAGGAAUACAUCGGAAUCUACUUUUUCGUGGGGGAUAACGUAGGGAAACUUACGCUAAUACCGCAUACGACCUACGGGUGAAAGCAGGGGAUCUUCGGACCUUGCGCGAUUGAAUGAGCCGAUGUCGGAUUAGCUAGUUGGCGGGGUAAAGGCCCACCAAGGCGACGAUCCGUAGCUGGUCUGAGAGGAUGAUCAGCCAUACUGGAACUGAGACACGGUCCAGACUCCUACGGGAGGCAGCAGUGGGGAAUAUUGGACAAUGGGCGCAAGCCUGAUCCAGCCAUACCGCGUGGGUGAAGAAGGCCUUCGGGUUGUAAAGCCCUUUUGUUGGGAAAGAAAAGCAGCAGGUUAAUACCCCGCUGUUCUGACGGUACCCAAAGAAUAAGCACCGGCCAACUUCGUG
rnacentral:rRNA from 1 species